rnacentral:rRNA from 1 species
CCUACGGGUGGCAGCAGUGAGGAAUAUUGGUCAAUGGACGAGAGUCUGAACCAGCCAAGUAACGUGAAGGAUGACUGCCCUACGGGUUGUAAACUUCUUUUAUAAAGGAAUAAAACGAGGCACGUGUGCCUUUUUGCAUGUACUUUAUGAAUGAGGAUCGGCUAACUCCGUGCCAGCCGCCGCGGUAAUACGGAGGAUCCGAGCGUUAUACGGAUUUGUUGGGUUUAAAGGGAGCGUAGAUGGGUUGUUAAGUCAGUUGUGACAGUUUGCGGCUCAACCGUAAAAUUGCAAUUGAUACUGGCAGUCUAGAGUACAGUUGAGGUAGGCGGAAUGCGUGGUGUAGCGGUGAAAUGCUUAGAUAUCACGAAGAACCCCGAUUGCGAAGGCAGCUUACUAAACUGUGACUGACAUUGAUGCUCGAAAGUGUGGGUAUCAAACAGGAUUAGAUACCCCGGUAGUC